GACGAACGCUGGCGGCGUGCUUAACACAUGCAAGUCGAACGCUGAAGACCUGGCUUUUGUUGGGUUGGAUGAGUGGCGAACGGGUGAGUAACACGUGAGUAACCUGCCCUCUUCUUUGGGAUAACGCCCGGAAACGGGUGCUAAUACUGGAUAUUCACUGAUCUUCGCUUGGGGGUUGGUGGAAAGGUUUGUUCUGGUGGGGGAUGGGCUCGCGGCCUAUCAGCUUGUUGGUGGGGUGAUGGCCUACCAAGGCUUUGACGGGUAGCCGGCCUGAGAGGGUGACCGGUCACAUUGGGACUGAGAUACGGCCCAGACUCCUACGGGAGGCAGCAGUGGGGAAUAUUGCACAAUGGGCGAAAGCCUGAUGCAGCGACGCCGCGUGAGGGAUGGAGGCCUUCGGGUUGUAAACCUCUUUCGCUCAUGGUCAAGCCGCAACUGUGGGUUGUGGUGAGGGUAGUGGGUAAAGAAGCGCCGGCUAACUACGUG
rnacentral:rRNA from 1 species